GGCCUUGACAUGCUGAGAACUUUCCAGAGAUGGAUUGGUGCCUUCGGGAACUCAGACACAGGUGCUGCAUGGCUGUCGUCAGCUCGUGUCGUGAGAUGUUGGGUUAAGUCCCGUAACGAGCGCAACCCUUGUCCUUAGUUACCAGCACGUUAUGGUGGGCACUCUAAGGAGACUGCCGGUGACAAACCGGAGGAAGGUGGGGAUGACGUCAAGUCAUCGUGGCCCUUACGGCCAGGGCUACACACGUGCUACAAUGGUCGGUACAAAGGGUUGCCAAGCCGCGAGGUGGAGCUAAUCCCAUAAAACCGAUCGUAGUCCGGAUCGCAGUCUGCAACUCGACUGCGUGAAGUCGGAAUCGCUAGUAAUCGUGAAUCAGAACGUCACGGUGAAUACGUUCCCGGGCCUUGUACACACCGCCCGUCACACCAUGGGAGUGGGUUGCUCCAGAAGUAGCUAGUCUAACCUUCGGGAGGACGGUUACCACGGAGUGAUUCAUGACUGGGGUGAAGUCGUAACAAGGUAAGCGUAGUGCU
rnacentral:rRNA from 1 species